UACGAAGGGGGCGAGCGUUGUUCGGAAUUACUGGGCGUAAAGGGCGCGUAGGCGGUGCACCAAGUCAGACGUGAAAUCCCCCGGCUUAACCUGGGAACUGCGUCUGAUACUGGGAGCUUGAGUUCGGGAGAGGGAUGUAGAAUUCCAGGUGUAGCGGUGAAAUGCGUAGAUAUCAGGAGGAACACCGGUGGCGAAGGCGCUGCUCUGGGCCGAAACUGACGCUGAGGAGCGAAAGCGUGGGUAGCAAACAGG
rnacentral:rRNA from 1 species